rnacentral:rRNA from 1 species
UACAGAGGUCUCAAGCGUUUGUUCGGAUUCAUUGGGCGUAAAGGGUGCGUAGGCGGCGCGGUAAGUCGGGUGUGAAAUCUCGGGGCUUAACUCCGAAACUGCAUUCGAUACUGCCGUGCUUGAGGACUGGAGGAGGAGACUGGAAUUUACGGUGUAGCGGUGAAAUGCGUAGAUAUCGUGAAGGAAGACCAGUGGCGAAGGCGGGUCUCUGGACAGUUC